CCUACGGGGGGCAGCAGUAGGGAAUCUUCCACAAUGGACGAAAGUCUGAUGGAGCAACGCCGCGUGAGUGAAGAAGGGUUUCGGCUCGUAAAGCUCUGUUGGUAGUGAAGAAAGAUAGAGGGAGUAACUGGCCUUUAUUUGACGGUAAUUACUUAGAAAGUCACGGCUAACUACGUGCCAGCAGCCGCGGUAAUACGUAGGGGGCAAGCGGUGGCCGGAGUUAUUGGGCGGAAAGCGAGGGCAGGCGGGUAAAAAAGACGGGUG
rnacentral:rRNA from 1 species